UACAGAGGGUGCAAGCGUUGUUCGGAAUUAUUGGGCGUAAAGGGCGCGUAGGCGGGUCUUUAAGUCAGGGGUGAAAUCCUGGAGCUCAACUCCAGAACUGCCUUUGAUACUGAGGAUCUUGAGUUCGGGAGAGGUGAGUGGAACUGCGAGUGUAGAGGUGAAAUUCGUAGAUAUUCGCAAGAACACCAGUGGCGAAGGCGGCUCACUGGCCCGAUACUGACGCUGAGGCACGAAAGCGUGGGGAGCAAACAGGG
rnacentral:rRNA from 1 species